UACGAAGGGGGCUAGCGUUGUUCGGAUUUAUUGGGCGUAAAGAGCUCGUAGGUGGUUCGGUAAGUCAGGUGUGAAACCUCCAGGCUCAACCUGGAGACGCCACUUGAUACUGCUGUGACUGGAGUCCGGUAGGGGAGCGUGGAAUUCCUGGUGUAGCGGUGAAAUGCGCAGAUAUCAGGAGGAACACCAGCGGCGAAGGCGGCGCUCUGGGCCGGUACUGACACUGAGGAGCGAAAGCGUGGGUAGCAAACAGG
rnacentral:rRNA from 1 species